rnacentral:misc_RNA from 1 species
UAAUAAGUGUUUUAUGGCACUUUUUAAAUCCAUAUCCACCUUGUGUGCAAUGUCGGUCGAUCUUCUUCUUUGAGGAUUGACCAAACAUCAACCUUUAUCUUUUAACUCUUUGUCUGAAAAAUAUUAUGAAUAAACAAUUCAAAAUA